rnacentral:rRNA from 1 species
UACGUAGGGGGCGAGCGUUGUCCGGAUUUAUUGGGCGUAAAGAGCGUGUAGGCGGUUCGGUAAGUCUGUCGUGAAAUCCUGAGGCUCAACCUCGGGCGUGCGAUGGAUACUGCCGGGCUAGAGGAUGGUAGAGUCGAGUGGAAUUCCUAGUGUAGAGGUGAAAUUCGUAGAUAUUAGGAAGAACACCAGUGGCGAAGGCGGCUCACUGGCCCGGUACUGACGCUGAGGCGCGAAAGCGUGGGGAGCAAACAGG